rnacentral:tRNA from 1 species
UUGGCUCAGUGGUAGAGCGCUUGCCUUGCAUGCAUGAGGCCGUGGGUUCGAUUCCUCA